GAGAAGAACGCAGUAAAAUGCGAUAAGUAAUGUGAAUUGCAGAAUUCAGUGAAUCAUCGAAUCUUUGAACGCACAUUGCGCCCGCCAGUAUUCUGGCGGGCAUGCCUGUUCGAGCGUCAUUUCAACCCUCAAGCACAGCUUGGUGUUGGGACUCGCGUUAAUUCGCGUUCCUCAAAUUGAUUGGCGGUCACGUCGAGCUUCCAUAGCGUAGUAGUAAAACCCUCGUUACUGGUAAUCGUCGCGGCCACGCCGUUAAACCCCAACUUCUGAAUGUUGACCUCGGAUCAGGUAGGAAUACCCGCUGAACUUAAGCAUAUCAAUAAGCGGAGGA
rnacentral:misc_RNA from 1 species